rnacentral:rRNA from 1 species
GAACGCUGGCGGCAGGCUUAACACAUGCAAGUCGAACGCACUUUUCGGAGUGAGUGGCAGACGGGUGAGUAACGCGUGGGAAUCUACCUAUUUCUACGGAAUAACGCAGAGAAAUUUGUGCUAAUACCGUAUACGUCCUAAUGGAGAAAGAUUUAUCGGAGAUAGAUGAGCCCGCGUUGGAUUAGCUAGUUGGUGAGGUAAUGGCCCACCAAGGCGACGAUCCAUAGCUGGUCUGAGAGGAUGACCAGCCACAUUGGGACUGAGACACGGCC